AUUGAGAGCUUUGGCCAACAGCAAGGCCCGGAAGGCCUCGGAGGCUGGGAAGGGCCCCCCGCCAGGGGGGAGGGCAGGGCCGAAGGCUGGCGUGUCCUGGGUCCUGCUCACCGCCAGGCUGUCAGGGGAAGAAGGAGGAGCUGAGGAAAGAGGUGAGAGAUGAAGGAUGGCUCAGGACCCAGGAGACCCCCUCACCCCCAAACAGGAUCAUCACAGAGCGAGAGCCGGAAGGGACCAUAGGACAGCCGGUCCAACCUCCCUUUUUAUGGCUGGGGAAACUGAGGCCCACAGUUACACAGACUGUGUCCGGACCCCCGGUGCCUCGGUCCAAGCCCAUCCUGAAGGACGGAGAGAGGGUGGUGUAGACGGAGUGUGUCCCAGUGGAGUCCGCUGUGGCCAAGGAAAGGAAGGGAGGGGAAGCUCAGGGUCUGAAGGUCAUGGGAGAGAAGAGCCAGACAGCUCCGGCCAGGGCUCCGAGGGAGCUGUCCAGCCCUGCUCCGCCCCCACUUCCUCCAGCCCCAUCUGCCUGUCCUAGGGCUGUUCUUUGGGGCAGCCGUGCUGCUCCCCCUGGACACUCCACACUGCAGUGGCCUUCCUCCCACCUGGAGGGACACACACACACACACACACACACACACACACACACACACACGAGGGAGGACAGAAUGCGAGGGAUCAUGGCCAGAGUGAGGCUGGGCCAUCAAAAGUAACUGGAUAGGGGCAGCUAGGUGGCGCAGUGGAUAGAGCACCGGCCCUGGAGUCAGGAGUACCUGAGUUCAAGUACGUCCUCAGACGGUUGACACUUAUAGCUGUGUGACCCUGGGCAAGUCACUUAACCCCAAUUGCCUCACACAUGUAACUGGGUAGAUGAUAUGCAAAGGAGCCACAAAUCACUCCCCUCCCCCCUUCAUUCAGGCUUUGGAAAUAGGGCACAGGGUCAUCAGGUCUCCUUUUACAAAGGGGGAAACUGAGGCCCAGAGAGAAGAAGGGAGGUCAGCAGGUCCCACAGCUAGUGGGUGCAUGAUUCCCACACUGGCUCUCUCCCAUGGGGAGAAGAGACUGUCCCUGCAUCUGGUCACCAGCACCCUGGGAAUGGGCAGGUCCCCCCUAGAUCCAAGCUCUAGUAUUCCAGCCUGCAGGCCCAAAGAUGGAUCUCUAAAGGAGAAGUUUCAGGCACAUGCUGCCGGGGAAAGAUUGGGGAGCCUUCCCCCAUACCCCAAAAGUCUGGCUAUGGC